rnacentral:rRNA from 1 species
CCUACGGGUGGCUGCAGUAGGGAAUAUUGGGCAAUGGACGCAAGUCUGACCCAGCCACGCCGCGUGAAGGAUGACUGCCCUAUGGGUUGUAAACUUCUUUUGUAUGGGAAGAAACCUCCGAACGUGUUCGGAGCUGACGGUACCAUAAGAAUAAGCAUCGGCUAACUCCGUGCCAGCAGCCGCGGUAAUACGUAGGAUGAAAGCGUCAUCCGGAUUCAUGGGGUUGUAGGGGUAGAAUUAAGGAGGAUGUGAAAGCUCGCAGCUUAACUGUGAAAAUGCCAUUGAAACUGAUUUUCUUGAGUUCGAUUGAGGUAGAUGGAAUGUAUCAUGUAGCGGUGAAAUGCUUAGAUAUGAUACAGAACACCAAUUGCGAAGGCAGUCUACUAAGUCGAUACUGACGCUGAGGCACGAAAGCAUGGGGAGCAAACAGGAUUAGAUACCCGAGUAGUC